rnacentral:tRNA from 1 species
GCCCUCAUCGUCUAGCGGUCAGGACGGGACCCUUUCAAGGUCCAGACAGGGGUUCGACUCCCCUUGAGGGCACCA